rnacentral:rRNA from 1 species
GAUGAACGCUGGCGGCGUGCCUAAUACAUGCAAGUCGAGCGAACAGACGAGGAGCUUGCUCCUCUGACGUUAGCGGCGGACGGGUGAGUAACACGUGGAUAACCUACCUAUAAGACUGGGAUAACUUCGGGAAACCGGAGCUAAUACCGGAUAAUAUAUUGAACCGCAUGGUUCAAUAGUGAAAGACGGUUUUGCUGUCACUUAUAGAUGGAUCCGCGCCGCAUUAGCUAGUUGGUAAGGUAACGGCUUACCAAGGCAACGAUGCGUAGCCGACCUGAGAGGGUGAUCGGCCACACUGGAACUGAGACACGGUCCAGACUCCUACGGGAGGCAGCAGUAGGGAAUCUUCCGCAAAGGGCGAAAGCUUGACGGAGCAACGCCGCGUGAGUGAUGAAGGUCUUCGGAUCGUAAAACUCUGUUAUUAGGGAAGAACAAAUGUGUAAGUAACUAUGCACGUCUUGACGGCACCUAAUCAGAAAGCCACGGCUAACUACGUG